ACAUAUAAGCACAGGGAGUGGGAAAUAGGCCUUUCCGUCGGCUCAGCCGUACUCAAACCACUCGCCGGCAUGUCAGUACUUGAGUGGGUGACUAUCAGCGAAUCCGGGUUUUCGUAUGUU
rnacentral:rRNA from 1 species